AUGAGGAUCAGGAAAGGAGAGCAAGAAGAAGAUGACCUACAAUUAAUUGACGGUGCAAUAGACUGCGAACUAACCACACCUUCCCGUCCAUCCACUAACCGCAUUAAUGGCGAUUGUGGUGCAGUUGACAUCACUUUGGCCCGCGUUCCCGGUGCAGUGGAGGCCACUAUAGAUGUUAUUAUAUCAAAAGUGCAAAGCGGAUUCAGUUUAUCUCUGAGCUCGUUUGUGUUUGCCGGUGGGUCACAUCAGGGAAUCGAACUCUUUUGUGGUAUUAUCGGUGAGUCAUGUGGCUUAACAAGAAGAUAUGUGAUUGCUGUACAGAUGGGUAGUUGGAUGCAUUUGAAGUUCAAUGUAGGUCAGAAAGGCUCUGAAUAUGAUGAUCUGGAACGCUAUUGA
rnacentral:rRNA from 1 species